GACGAACGCUGGCGGCGUGCUUAACACAUGCAAGUCGAACGCUGAAGCUUGGUGCUUGCACUGGGUGGAUGAGUGGCGAACGGGUGAGUAAUACGUGAGUAACCUGCCCUUGACUCUGGGAUAAGCCUGGGAAACUGGGUCUAAUACUGGAUACGACAUGCCACUGCAUGGUGGUGUGUGGAAAGGGUUUUACUGGUUUUGGAUGGGCUCACGGCCUAUCAGCUUGUUGGUGGGGUAAUGGCCUACCAAGGCGACGACGGGUAGCCGGCCUGAGAGGGUGACCGGCCACACUGGGACUGAGACACGGCCCAGACUCCUACGGGAGGCAGCAGUGGGGAAUAUUGCACAAUGGGCGGAAGCCUGAUGCAGCGACGCCGCGUGAGGGAUGACGGCCUUCGGGUUGUAAACCUCUUUCAGCACGGAAGAAGCGGGAGUGACGGUACGUGCAGAAGAAGCGCCGGCUAACUACGU
rnacentral:rRNA from 1 species